rnacentral:rRNA from 1 species
UACGAAGGGGGCUAGCGUUAAUCGGAAUUACUGGGCGUAAAGCGUGCGUAGGUGGUUCUUUAAGUCAGGUGUGAAAUCCCCGGGCUCAACCUGGGAACUGCAUUUGAUACUGAAGAGCUAGAGUGUGGUAGAGGAUAGUGGAAUUCCCGGUGUAGCGGUGAAAUGCGUAGAUAUCGGGAGGAACAUCAGUGGCGAAGGCGGCUAUCUGGACCAACACUGACACUGAGGCACGAAAGCGUGGGUAGCAAACAGG